CACCAUCCCCCAAGCUUCGUUGGAUUCCAGCAGCUCGGCUUUCACUUCCCGUUGCUUCACUCACACCGGCCCUCUGUAUUGGUGUGUAUAUACGCACGACUGUGGAACUGGUGCCUUUGGAGUGGCUCAAUUUCUGCACUUUGUCCUCGUCUCCAAGACUCUCCCAGAUAACUUUUCUUCGCCGGUCUUAUCAAUGAGUAUGCUGGCCGCUCUAGAAUCUGGGAAGAUGCAACCCCUCCACCCCUGGGGCUGGACCCCCCUGGGACAUGCUGACCUGGACUUGAUCGAGGAGUACCUUCAAGAACACCUGGAGGAGCCCCAUCCUGGCCCCUCAGCUGCACCCUGCCAGACAGAAGAACACUUUGGUCUUAAGGAAAAUGGAUGUCCGAUGACACCAGGGGAACAUUUGACCUCUGGCCUUUGGACCCAAGUAGAUGAGAAAGAGCUGUCUCCCUCGUCAGGGUUUGUCGACACUGAGGGGACCAGUCCAACUGAAACAAAGGAGCAGAAUCAACGACCAGACUGCUUUGACUGUGUAAACAUCAUUAACUGUCUUUCAUUCCGCUGCUCUCGACAUCUCCAUACAUAUAACUCACAAGCUUCCCUGUUUUUUUGUUUCUUAUUUAUUGUUUGCUGAUGGCUCAG
rnacentral:lncRNA from 1 species